CAGUCGCCACGGUAAUACGGAGGGGGCUAGCGUUGUUCGGAAUUACUGGGCGUAAAGCGCACGUAGGCGGCUUUACAAGUCAGAGGUGAAAGCCUGGUGCUCAACACCAGAAUUGCCUUUGAGACUGUAUCGCCUGAACGUCGGAGAGGUGAGUGGAAUUCCGAGUGUAGAGGUGAAAUUCGUAGAUAUUCGGAAGAACACCAGUGGCGAAGGCGGCUCACUGGACGACUGUUGACGCUGAGGUGCGAAAGCGUGGGGAGCAAACAGGAUUAGAUACCCCCGUAGUCCCUGUCUCUUAUAU
rnacentral:rRNA from 1 species